GACGAACGCUGGCGGCGUGCUUAACACAUGCAAGUCGAGCGGUAAGGCCCUUUCGGGGGUACACGAGCGGCGAACGGGUGAGUAACACGUGGGUGACCUGCCCUCAGCUCUGGGAUAAGCCCGGGAAACUGGGUCUAAUACUGGAUAUUACUCUGCGGUGCAUGCCGUGGGGGUGGAAAGCCUUGUGCGGCUGGGGAUGGGCCCGCGGCCUAUCAGCUUGUUGGUGGGGUGAUGGCCACCAAGGCGACGACGGGUAGCCGGCCUGAGAGGGCGACCGGCCACACUGGGACUGAGACACGGCCCAGACUCCUACGAGAGGCAGCAGUGGGGAAUCUUGCGCAAUGGGCGAAAGCCUGACGCAGCGACGCCGCGUGAGGGAUGACGGCCU
rnacentral:rRNA from 1 species